rnacentral:pre_miRNA from 1 species
GGGGGGAGCACCGGAUCUUGGGCUGUGUCCCCAGCGCCCUUGGCUCCAGGGCCUGCAGGGCUGGAAUCGUGCUCUUGGAGCCGUGCAGCCCCCU